rnacentral:lncRNA from 1 species
GAGUAUACAUAUAACAACUUUUAAAGUUGUUACACAAAAGAACAGGGUUUCUGUGAAUGUUUCCUGUUUCUCAUUCCAUACUUAUCUCUCUCAUCUGUAGUUGGUUCAGCAGUGGCCACAGAUGCAGAAAUCCACCAUGAAUGAUAAGGAGGAGGAGGAUGACACUGGUGGUAUCAACUUAGAUAAAGCAAAGGAAAGGCUUCAGGAAGAGGACAAAUUUGACAAAGAAGAAUAUAGGAAGAAAAUUAAGGCAAAGCAUCGGGAGAAGAGACUGAAAGAAAGGGAAGCCAGAAGAGAAGCCAACAAGAGACAAGCAAAGGUAAGAAUUUAUAUAUGUGGAUAUUGUAUUUUUUUUUGCCAGCUUUCUUA